AAUAAAUAAACAAGACACUUAUUCAAACCCUAGCCACAAAGUUUCCCAACUAAUAUGCCAAAAUCCAAAUAAUACACCAAAGUAUAAUCAACACUACCUUUUCUAUGUUAAACCAUCCAGCUCCAACCUUAGGAGCCUGGGCAGGGGAUUUCACCUAACUUCCUUAUAGUCAAUCCAGUACACUGUGGUAAGUUUGGAUCUUCUCAGUUAGUCCUAAAAAAAUAAUUGAAAGCAGGCCACAGACCCGUUGAUGUGGCGCAACACAAACGCACGCAGGAUUUUAAUUUAUCUUUUUCCUCAGAAUUUUAACUUUAUCUCUUAUUUAUUCCUGAUUUUUUAAUCAUUAAAAAAAAAAAAGCUUCGUCUGUUAUUUCCCUACACCUCUUUUCCGUCUCCAAAUUAAUUCGCACCGUUUCACUUCUUCAUUCACCACCCACAUGACUGCUACCAUUGAUGAAGCCAUUAUCCUGAAAGUAGCAAAAUCAAAAUAAAGGAUCUCCGUUUUCUUCAAUUUUUGGGUUUUUAUCCCUAUUUUUACCUUUUAUUAUGUGCAAAAAAAAAAAAAAAAAAACUCCCUUAUUUGUUUCGUCUUCCUCUUCAUGCUUACUAGACACUUCUUCCUCUUGUCUUGCCGUCGCCCAAGAUUAACAAUGACGAAAAUAACAAAAGGAAACGGCAUUGCUCCUUUAUUUCUCCUUACAGUUCUUUUUAUGAUAUUCCUUAGACCAACAUUUCCCACGAAAAAGGUGUUAAUGCAUCAGCUUCGCGCAAGAUGGCCAUGGAAUGGUGUUUAGUCAAUGUCAGAAGUAAUGCUAUUUGUUUAAGAGAAAUUAUCUCAAUCUCAAAGUCAUUGUUCAUAAAGUUAAGAUUUGUCAAACCUUUGUCCCGUCUCUUACAUCACUUCGGUAUUAGUGGUUGUUUGAAUUUUUCAUAAUUUGUUAGGAAGACUUUUAUUCAUUUCUCCUUAUUGUUUGUGCUCUAGACAUACUCUUUUUGUUAGAUUGUCAGGGUAAUGGUAUAUUCGGGAACAACAACGAAACUAUCUAUACAAGACAAUGAGAAGAAGAAAACCUUUGUGCAUCAUAAAACGGUACACCAUAUUCUGGUAUGGUAUUAUUUCUCUUUCCCUUUUAGUGUUUUUUUUUUUUUUUUUUGGUCUCUUAAUUUUGUUCUCAAUCUCCAUUAAGCACUUAACUGUAAUAUGGAUAUGAGAUUCAGUUGUUAGGAAUUCCUUGUACAAAAAAUCCAAGUCUAAAAAUUUACAGUUUCUUUAGCUGAAACUGAUGCUUUGAGUUCUGCUUUUCACAUUUAUCUCUUUUAUAUGUCGCUUCCCUGGACAUCUGUAUCUCUUCUCGUGGAGUUCACAAAUUGUGCUAUGGUGUCGGAAGAAGAAAAGAUGAUUCGGCAUUCUCUUCGCAAUUUUCCCACCGCGAGCUUCGGAAACUCCUUUCAAAGUGGUUAUUUAGUGUUAUUUCCUCUCAAUUUCCUAACUGCGAGCUUUCGAAACUCCUUUUUUGAUUGGUUAUUUAGUUUUCUUUCCAGUUGUGUUCUUCUAUCAAGCAAUUAAAUAUUUCUAAUCUGAUGUCCCAGACGUAAAACUACCUUUCAAUCUUCACAUAAAUUCUAUGUCUUGGAAUGAGAUGAUUACUCCUUUCUCAUUAAACUGACGGCAGCAAUCAAGCAAAACGAGGCUAUGAACAAGGAUAUCGCAAAAGGGGUGCAAUCUUGUCAUGUGAAGAUUCUUCUGCAGAGCUUCUUUAACGAUCAGUAUUGCAAUAGCUGAGAAAUUUGAACCCUCAGGGGUUGGCCUGGUGGCAAUUGGCUUGAGCCUUGGGGUGCUCCCUUUCAAGGUCUCAAGUUCGAAACCCAUUGGGUGCAAACAAUUUCUGAGGGCCAUCGGACUGGGUAAAACCCUGAAUUACCCGUGGUGCACUUGCGGGAAACUCCUUGCUGAGGGCCUGUGCACCCCCGGGAUUAGUCGAGGCUCAAAGAGCCUCGGACACCCGGUGCUUAAUCAAAAAAAAAAAUAGCUGAGAAAUUUGCACUAAAGUCUCCUCCAGCACGUGGUCCUGGGUUUUGUUCUUGAGUAUUCAUAUUUUAGUUCACGAUCUACUCUACGUUCAACGAAACAUUUACCGUCAGAGCUAAUUUUUUAUGAGGAUGUUGGUAAGGCAAUCUUGCAGAGCUAUUCUAGAGUGUACUGGAAAGUUUGACAUUCAACAUCGUUGCUUGAAUUGAAGAUGUUCAUUUUAUGUAGCUAAGACCAUGAAAAACCAAGAAGAAUAGGGACCGCAGUAAGCAAAGCCUUUUCUGAUCUCUGCAAGUGUGAGUCAUGUUAGUGCCUCCGGAAUACGGUUAAACUACCUAUAACAAAGGAUCGCUCCCGAAUAGGAUAGCACCAAGUCGAGAACUCGAACAAAUGGAGAAUUAAUUUCACUAUGUGAAAACCAAACUGAUUGUGUAAUUUGAGAGAAGUACUCGAACUUGAAAAUUUUGUUUCUUUUUCAUGGUUUUGAAUAUUUAUAAUUAUAUUCAAGAGCGAAAUCUUGUAGUUUUCUA